rnacentral:piRNA from 1 species
UCACAGGAGGAGAGUAACCACAAACCACAA